rnacentral:lncRNA from 1 species
GCCAUCUGCGUUUUACUGUGAAGAGGAUUAUGAAACUAUUUGCCAGAUAGAACCUUAUGAGAUUUCUCCCCUGCCCCAAAACGUCUUUCCUUUAAACGUGCUUCAUUGUUAUCAGUGGACUGCUUUCAAAAAUGAGCACAGCAGAGAAAACAAUCUACCCUUGUGUGAACUGCAUCAGAUUCUUACUGAAAAAUCAGAGAAAGUAGUGAUUACAGAACCAGUAGCUGCUCCAGCAGAAUUUCAGCACUAUAUGUUUCUCCAAAUAUAAUUGGUAAAGCUAAUUUUGAGUGAAGUAAACUGAAAAUUAAUAUUUAAAAAGGUAUUUCAGUGAUAGUGACAUUUUUUCCAUGCGAAGUUUCCUCCAGAAAUAUUUACCUUGAAUGGAGAACCUUAAGACAAA